rnacentral:rRNA from 1 species
UGUCUUUUUGAAAAUAAUUUAAAGUCUAAUCUGCCCACUGAUUAAAAUUGAAGGGCUGCAGUAUAUUGACUGUACAAAGGUAGCAUAAUCAUUAGUCAUUUAAUUGAUGACUUGUAUGAAAGAUUGGAUGAGAUAUAUACUGUCUCUUAUUUAAUUAUAAAAUUUAAUUUUUUUAUUAAAAAGUUAAAAUAAUUUAAAAAGACGAGAAGACCCUAUAGAGUUUAAUAAAUAAUUAAUUUGAUUUUAUUUUGAAAUUUAAUAUUGAAAAUUAUUUAUUUAUUUUAUUGGGGUGAUAGAAAAAUAAAUAAAACUUUUUUUAAAAUAAAACAUUUAUAAGUGAUUAAAUGAUCCAAUAAUAUUGAUUAUAAGAAAAAAUUACCUUAGGGAUAACAGCGUAAUUUUUUUUUUUAGUUCAAAUAAGAAAAAGAGUUUGCGACCUCGAUGUUGGAUUAAGAUAAAAUUUGAAUGCAGAAG